rnacentral:lncRNA from 1 species
AUCAAAUUCAAUUUGAAUAGAGAAGAAGCUCUACUAAUUAAUUAUGAUAGUAACCUUACUUUUAGAUGCAUGGCAAAGCACAACCUUUGUGGAGCUAGAUUCGAGGACAAACAGAGUUUGCGGCUAGAUUGGCAGUGAAGGAAGUACUGUGGCAAGUGACAUCGGUGUUGAAAUAUUGUUCUGGUAUAUACUGAUUAUUGACACCAUACUUCGUCCCAAGCUCCCCAGGUUCUCGGCAAAAAAUGUACAGGGACCGUAUAUUUUCAAGAGUUGGCAAUAUAAGCUAAUAUUUAGGUACCUUUCUGUAUACUACAUAUUAGAUAUAUUGUCUUGAAACAUGCAUGCAUAAAAAGACGCAGAUGCCAUGUUUGGUUUAGCACACAUAGUUUAGUAGUACAGGAUAAAGAAAAUCUGAAAUGUAUUUAGAACUGAAAGUAUAUAUAAGAAGCAAUGACCAUAUUGUUGGAGAUUAUUAAUCCAAGUCCUAUAAAAAACAAAUCUCAAUGAACUUGUGGGGUAGCCUUAGCUGUAGUUGAGGGCAUAAAAGUGAUCGAGAAAACUAUCAAAUACAUGAAGGUUCAUAUGACUGAUGCCAUGAGUUCCACAGGAGCCUGAACCCCUGACUAGCGUUGCUGAUGAACAUCCGGCACGGGUCUGCAUCAACAGUUAAAGCAUCAGCCUGAUUGGUAAGAAGAAAUUCUUCAAACAACACUAAUCCUAUGGCAGACACAUCAGGUUGUGUAAUUUCCUUAUUAAGAAUUCAAUGAAGUCUACUUAACAUUGCUUAGGCCCGAUGUUCAGAUUAGUAAAAAUCAUGUCAAGCAGCUUUGAAUCCGCACUAAUGAUCACAUCCUAAACUGGUCCUAAAAAAUCAGCAGUGGACAUCUACGAUCAUAGUCAUAGGUGCAGUAGUAUUCCUUUAGUGAUUUAACAUGUUUUUGCCAAAAGAUGAGAAUCAUCCAUGUGACCAUGUCUCUGCAACAUAAACAGAUGAAGUAUCAAUGAUCACGAAUUACUCCCUAUGGGAAUUAACAAACACUUUCUUGGCAAAAAAAGCUCUAGUUCUGCAUAUUAAACUGUAGCAUACUGGGCAACAGAAAGCAAUGCAUUGGGUAUUAUUCAUCAUUGACAAUCCACACGACUAUACUAUAGUAAGCUAAAUAGGAGUUGAGCCAAUGAACCAUUUCACUAAAACUAACUAAACCACCAAUUAUAACAAAAUUGUGUUGUCCUCUGUCAAAUUCAAUCCGAUCGACCACUCUCGACUAUUAGUCCUGACUGAAGCGCCUGUUAACAAAUUAACUAAACUACCAUGAUUUGGAAAAACAAAAGUAUCUAAAUCACCAUUGCAAAGCCAAAGGAUAGUAGUAUUGACCCAGUUCCUUGCCAAAUCCAAGUUUGUGUCUGAAGGAGAGGAGAUUCUGCCCACUAACAUGGCCAUCCAGUGGCACGUACUCCACCUAGCACGUUCGCCAAUCCCACCCAAGUUCCAUGAGAGAACUUCAGAGCAGAAAAUUAUCUUGCUGGGUAGCCACUUAGAACACACGCCGAAUUUUCUACAGGGAGCGCGAUCUUCUCCAAAUAUUUUUGCGCCUCGAUGGUAAGUGUGGAGAGGCACAACAGGACGGGCACCAUUGUUGUCAAAGAGUGGAGAGCGUCCUGUGUCGCAGUAACUGGGGACGUGAAAUUCAAUGGAGAGGAGGAACAUGAGGUGGGGACAGAUCGAUGAACGGAACGCAGUCUGCCUCACCCCCGUUCCCUCGACCGGACGCGUCGCCACACGCCAUCGGAAGAAUCCGCCGCCGCGUGCUGGUCCAAGAGAGACGACCAAGGAGAGAGAUGGUUCGUGGUGGCGGUGGAGACGAUGGGAUGCGACAGAGGCUGGAUGCGGUGGACGGUGGCGGCGGAUGGGAAACGGAGCGACGACGGCAGUAGGGAGCAGGGUGGCGGCGCAAUCCAUGGCAGGCGAUGAGUCCGAUGGUGGGUUUCGUGAGGUUAGGGAUACGGGAG